rnacentral:lncRNA from 1 species
AAUCUCACCCUGCGUGCACCCGCUACAUUUUUCACCCAUUCAUUUUCUAGCACUUUCUCACCUUCCAAACACAUCCUCCGUUGCUCCAAACCCUCACCCUCCCACCUCACCCCCAAAAUCACCAUGUCCUCCACCGCCUCCUCCGCCACCCAAACAGUCAUCGAGCACAUCGUCCUCUUCAAAGUCAAGGACGACACCGACCCAGCCAAGGUCAGCGCGAUGGUCAACAACCUCAACGGCCUCACCUCUCUCAACCUCACACUCCACCUCACCGCCUCCCCGAUCCUCCGCACCCGAUCCUCGCCCUUCGCCUUCACCCACCUCCUCCACAGCCGCUACAGCUCCAAAGACGAC